UAUGUAGGGUGCGAGCGUUGUCCGGAAUUAUUGGGCGUAAAGAGCUUGUAGGCGGUUUGUCGCGUCUGCUGUGAAAAUCCGGGGCUCAACCCCGGACUUGCAGUGGGUACGGGCAGGCUAGAGUGUGGUAGGGGGAGACUGGAAUUCCUGGUGUAGCGGUGGAAUGCGCAGAUAUCAGGAGGAACACCGGUGGCGAAGGCGGGUCUCUGGGCCGAUACUGACGCUGAGGAGCGAAAGCGUGGGGAGCGAACAGG
rnacentral:rRNA from 1 species